rnacentral:lncRNA from 1 species
CUAUAAGCAGCCAAUAAACACCAUAAAAGAAGCAGGGGAAGACUUUUUACAAGGGAAGGAAUAAAACACAAGUGAAACUAAAGCUGCGCAACUAAACUUCGAACAGUAGCUCUAUACUCGGUGAGUUUAUUUUUUCAGCAUUCACGUGUUUUAUGCAAAUAUUUUCUUUUAUUGAUGUUAUAAACCAUUGCAGAUGUAUCAAGGUUUUUAUGUUGUGAAUUGGAUUUGUUUUCUAGCAUUUUCAUCGUCUUGUGAUCAGAUCACAAGUGUGACCAUCGAGAUUACGGAUGGCGACUGGGCCUGAACCAGGAAUUGUUCACUCAUGCAUUUGAAGGUGAAACGUCACAUGGAGCGAGUUGCGUUCUGGGAAACUGUAUACCAUGCAGUGUCUUCAGAUGUACAUCAAAUUUCAGCAAAUGUAGCAGAGCUUGGCAUUAAUUCACCAUGGAGUCCAGAGUUCAUCCAGGAGCUUCUCCCAUCUGCGGAGCGAACUGCUCUCCUCUAUCACCUGUCUUACCUGUGUCUGGGAGGCUUCCCAAAGUUGGAGCGUCUGAUCAGAGAACGAGCUAUAGAAACGCAACUGCUGUUUGGAUCAUCUGAGGCCGUUCUGCUGAAGAUCUACCCAUAUAAAUCAGAUUCCGAAGAAGUCCGUGCUAAUUAAGAAUGUAGUCAUGCCAGAUAAGUUGUAUCAUCUCAUCACCUUAGCAGCCCACACUUACACGUCCACCUGCAACUUGUUCAAAACAAAGGCAUAGCUUUCUGACGCCGUAAUUGAGUGUGGAAUCCUGGGAGAUGUUUUCACCUUUACAGACGAUGGAAAAGAAUCCGACAGUAUUCGGCCAUUUUUGUGGAGCAGGUAAUAUAAUAAAGAUUUAUUUUACAUUGUUGUAGUAUGAAGCAGGGUGGGGCUUAAAGCUGUGGAAGUGGAACAAGGCCGCUGGAGCGAUCUUCAGUCACCACUUCCGCUCCUUCCAGUCUUGCAUAUGUGGG